rnacentral:rRNA from 1 species
GACGAACACUGGCGGCGUGCUUAACACAUGCAAGUCGAACGGAAAGGCCCGGCUUUUGUGGGGUGCUCGAGUGGCGAACGGGUGAGUAACACGUGAGUAACCUGCCCUUGACUUUGGGAUAACUUCAGGAAACUGGGGCUAAUACCGGAUAGGAGCUCCUGCUGCAUGGUGGGGGUUGGAAAGUUUCGGCGGUUGGGGAUGGACUCGCGGCUUAUCAGCUUGUUGGUGGGGUAGUGGCUUACCAAGGCUUUGACGGGUAGCCGGCCUGAGAGGGUGACCGGCCACAUUGGGACUGAGAUACGGCCCAGACUCCUACGGGAGGCAGCAGUGGGGAAUAUUGCACAAUGGGCGGAAGCCUGAUGCAGCAACGCCGCGUGCGGGAUGACGGCCUUCGGGUUGUAAACCGCUUUCGCCUGUGACGAAGCGUGAGUGACGGUAAUGGGUAAAGAAGCACCGGCUAACUACGUG